GGGUGACUGCGUACCUUUUGUAUAAUGGGUCAGCGACUUAUAUUCUGUAGCAAGGUUAACCGUAUAGGGGAGCCGCAGGGAAACCGAGUCUUAACUGGGCGUUAAGUUGCAGGGUAUAGACCCGAAACCCGGUGAUCUAGCCAUGGGCAGGUUGAAGGUUGGGUAACACUAACUGGAGGACCGAACCGACUAAUGUUGAAAAAUUAGCGGAUGACUUGUGGCUGGGGGUGAAAGGCCAAUCAAACCGGGAGAUAGCUGGUUCUCCCCGAAAGCUAUUUAGGUAGCGCCUCGUGAACUCAUCUUCGGGGGUAGAGCACUGUUUCGGCUAGGGGGUCAUCCCGACUUACCAACCCGAUGCAAACUACGAAUACCGAAGAAUGUUAUCACGGGAGACACACGGCGGGUGCUAACGUCCGUCGUGAAGAGGGAAACAACCCAGACCGCCAGCUAAGGUCCCAAAGUCAUGGUUAAGUGGGAAACGAUGUGGGAAGGCCCAGACAGCCAGGAUGUUGGCUUAGAAGCAGCCAUCAUUUAAAGAAAGCGUAAUAGCUCACUGGUCGAGUCGGCCUGCGCGGAAGAUGUAACGGGGCUAAACCAUGCACCGAAGCUGCGGCAGCGACACUAUGUGUUGUUGGGUAGGGGAGCGUUCUGUAAGCCGUUGAAGGUGGCCUGUGAGGGUUGCUGGAGGUAUCAGAAGUGCGAAUGCUGACAUAAGUAACGAUAAUGCGGGUGAAAAACCCGCACGCCGGAAGACCAAGGGUUCCUGUCCAACGUUAAUCGGGGCAGGGUGAGUCGACCCCUAAGGCGAGGCCGAAAGGCGUAGUCGAUGGGAAACAGGUUAAUAUUCCUGUACUCGGUGUUACUGCGAAGGGGGGACGGAGAAGGCUAUGUUGGCCGGGCGACGGUUGUCCCGGUUUAAGCAUGUAGGCGGAUGUUCCAGGUAAAUCCGGAACGUUAUCAACGCUGAGGUGUGAUGACGAGGCACUACGGUGCUGAAGUGACAAAUGCCCUGCUUCCAGGAAAAGCCUCUAAGCAUCAGGUAACAUCAAAUCGUACCCCAAACCGACACAGGUGGUCAGGUAGAGAAUACCAAGGCGCUUGAGAGAACUCGGGUGAAGGAACUAGGCAAAAUGGUGCCGUAACUUCGGGAGAAGGCACGCUGAUGGUAAGUGAAGUGACUUGCUCAUGGAGCUGAAAUCAGUCGAAGAUACCAGCUGGCUGCAACUGUUUAUUAAAAACACAGCACUGUGCAAACACGAAAGUGGACGUAUACGGUGUGACGCCUGCCCGGUGCCGGAAGGUUAAUUGAUGGGGUUAUCCUCACGGAGAAGCUCUUGAUCGAAGCCCCGGUAAACGGCGGCCGUAACUAUAACGGUCCUAAGGUAGCGAAAUUCCUUGUCGGGUAAGUUCCGACCUGCACGAAUGGCGUAAUGAUGGCCAGGCUGUCUCCACCCGAGACUCAGUGAAAUUGAACUCGCUGUGAAGAUGCAGUGUACCCGCGGCAAGACGGAAAGACCCCGUGAACCUUUACUAUAGCUUGACACUGAACACUGGUCCUUGAUGUGUAGGAUAGGUGGGAGGCUUUGAAGUGUGGACGCCAGUCUGCAUGGAGCCAUCCUUGAAAUACCACCCUUUAAUGGCUGGUGUUCUAACGUGGGCCCGUAAUCCGGGUUGCGGACAGUGUCUGGUGGGUAGUUUGACUGGGGCGGUCUCCUCCUAAAGAGUAACGGAGGAGCACGAAGGUCAGCUAAUCCUGGUCGGACAUCAGGAGGUUAGUGCAAUGGCAUAAGCUGGCUUGACUGCGAGCGUGACGGCGCGAGCAGGUGCGAAAGCAGGUCAUAGUGAUCCGGUGGUUCUGAAUGGAAGGGCCAUCGCUCAACGGAUAAAAGGUACUCCGGGGAUAACAGGCUGAUACCGCCCAAGAGUUCAUAUCGACGGCGGUGUUUGGCACCUCGAUGUCGGCUCAUCACAUCCUGGGGCUGAAGUAGGUCCCAAGGGUAUGGCUGUUCGCCAUUUAAAGUGGUACGCGAGCUGGGUUUAGAACGUCGUGAGACAGUUCGGUCCCUAUCUGCCGUGGGCGCUGGAGAAUUGAGGGGGGCUGCUCCUAGUACGAGAGGACCGGAGUGGACGCAUCACUGGUGUUCGGGUUGUCAUGCCAAUGGCAUUGCCCGGUAGCUAAAUGCGGAAGAGAUAAGUGCUGAAAGCAUCUAAGCACGAAACUUGCCCCGAGAUGAGUUCUCCCUGACCCUUUAAGGGUCCUGAAGGAACGUUGAAGACGACGACGUUGAUAGGCCGGGUGUGUAAGCGCAGCGAUGCGUUGAGCUAACCGGUACUAAUGAACCGUGAGGCUUAACCUU
rnacentral:rRNA from 1 species